rnacentral:rRNA from 1 species
AGUGAACGCUGGCGGUAGGCCUAACACAUGCAAGUCGAACGGCAGCACAGUAAGAGCUUGCUCUUACGGGUGGCGAGUGGCGGACGGGUGAGGAAUACAUCGGAAUCUACUUUUUCGUGGGGGAUAACGUAGGGAAACUUACGCUAAUACCGCAUACGACCUACGGGUGAAAGCAGGGGAUCUUCGGACCUGUCGCGAUUGAAUGAGCCGAUGUCGGAUUAGCUAGUUGGCGGGGUAAAGGCCCACCAAGGCGACGAUCCGUAGCUGGUCUGAGAGGAUGAUAAGCCACACUGGAACUGGAACACGGUCCAGACUCCUACGGGAGGCAGCAGUGGGGAAUAUUGGACAAUGGGCGCAAGCCUGAUCCAGCCAUACCGCGUGGGUGAAGGAGGCCUUCGGGUUGUAAAGACCUUUUGUUGGGAAAGAAAAGCAGCAGGUUAAUACCCCGCUGUUCUGACGGUACCCAAAGAAUAAGCACCGGCUAACUUCGUG